GGAGGAAAAGAAACUAACAAGGAUUCCCCUAGUAACGGCGAGUGAAGAGGGAAAAGCCCAAAUUUGUAAUCUGGCUCUUUCAGAGUCCGAGUUGUAAUUUUAAGAACUGUUUUCCGUGCUGGACCAUGUACAAGUCUGUUGAAAAACAGCAUCAUUGAGGGUGAAAAUCCCGUACAUGAUAUGGACUACCAGUGCAAUGUGAUACAGUCUCUAAGAGUCGAGUUGUUUGGGAAUGCAGCUCAAAGUGGGUGGUAAAUUCCAUCUAAGGCUAAAUAUAGGUGAGAGACCGAUAGCAAACAAGUACCGUGAGGGAAAGAUGAAAAGAACUUUGGAAAGAGAGUUAACAGUACGUGAAAUUGUUAAAAGGGAAACAUUUGAAGUUAGACUUGUUAUUGUUGGUUCAACUUCUUUAUUGAGGUGUAUUCCAAUGGUUAACAGACCAGCAUCAAUUUUUGGGUGUUGGAUAAGGGUUUAGGAAAUGUAGCAACCUUGGUUGUGUUAUAGUCCUUUACUUUGAUACAAUGCUUAGGAUUGAGGAACGCAGUAAGCUUUGUAGCAGAUUUCUUUGGAGAUCUUCUUACUACGGAUGUUGGUGUAAUAGCUUUAAAUGACCCGUCU
rnacentral:rRNA from 1 species